rnacentral:rRNA from 1 species
ACGGAAUAGAUACCCCUGGUAGUCCACGCCCUAAACGAUGUCUACUAGUUGUUGGUGGAGUAAAAUCCAUGAGUAAACGCAGCUAAACGCGUGAAGUAGACCGCCUGGGGAGUACGGUCGCAAGAUUAAAACUCAAAUGAAUUGACAGGGGCCCGCACAAGCGGUGGAUUAUGUGGAUUAAUUCGAUGCAACGCGAAAACCUUACCUGGCCUUGACAUGUAACGAACUUUCCAGAGAUGGAUUGGUGCUCGAAAGAGAACGUUAACACAGGUGCUGCAUGGCUGUCGUCAGCUCGUGUCGUGAGAUGUUGGGUUAAGUCCCGCAACGAGCGCAACCCUUGCCAUUAAUUGCCAUCAUUAGUUGGGCACUUUAAUGGGACUGCCGGUGACAAACCGGAGGAAGGUGGGGAUGACGUCAAGUCCUCAUGGCCCUUAUGGCCAGGGCUUCACACGUAAUACAAUGGUCGGUACAGAGGGUUGCCAACCCGCAGGGGUAGCCAAUCCCAGAAAGCCGAUCGUAGUCCGGAUUGUAGUCUGCAACUC